GAGAGUUCCAGUUUGGGGUUCCCGGUGAUGUUUGCAAGGACCAGGUUACACACAGGUCUGUGUAGUGUGACAAGUGUAGCUACUGCAAACUGCAAAUCAAUGCCACCACCGUCCGUUGUAAGAAAUGUGAUGUGUCUUUGCUUUGCAGAGAAAAGACAAAGACUUGAACGAUAGAGAGGUGUUUUCAAAUGCGUUUACAUUAUUAGGGGAUGUAAAAUAAACAUUUUGUUUGCAAGUUGUAGAAGGAAUCUCUAGAGGGCAGCACUGAGCAUGGAUUGUCAAAGUAUAAUAUGAGAAAAAUAUAGUGUAGUAUGAUUAAAUGUCAUAGUAUAGUAUGAUAAAAUUAUCAAUAUAGUAUAAAUUAAAAUUUUACAGUGUAGUUUGAAAAAAUAUCACAGUAUAGUAUAAUAAAAAUGUUAUGGUAUAGUAUGUUAAAAAAUCAUAGUAAAGUAUGUUAAAAAUAUGAUAGUAUAUUAUAAUAAAAAUGCCAGCAUAGUACAAUAAAAAUGUCAGAGUAUAGUAUGAUGGCAAGAUCAUGUUAUAGUAUGAAAAAAUGUAAUAGUAUAGCAUAUUAAAAAAAUAAUUAAAAGUGAUGAAAAUAUCCUAGUAUUGUAUUAUUAAAUGUCAGUUAAUCAUGAUAAAAAGUGGUAUAGUAUGAUACAAGUACAGUGUAAUAUUGUAAAAGGUCAUAGUAAAGUGUGAUAAAAAAUGUCAUAGUAUAGUAUGAUAAAAAAAAUAUCACUUUUUAGUCUGAUUAAAAUAUAGUAUAGUAUGUUAUUUGUAUAUCAUAGUAUAGUGUGUUAAAAAUUUUAAAUUUUAGUAAAAAAAAAUAUUUAAUUAUGGAAAGGAAUGUCAGUAUAGUAUGAUAAAAAUUUCAUAGUAUAGUAUGUGAAAAAAAUCAAAUUUUAACAUGAAGAAAAAAUGUCAGUAAAGUAUGAUAAAAAAUUCAUAUAAAGGUAUGAAAAAAGUCAGUAUAGUUUGAUAAAAAAAAUAUCAUAGUAUAGUGUAUAGAAUUUUAUAUUUUAGUGUUAAAAAAUCAUAUUUUAGUAUAAUAAAAAAAUGUCAUAGGAGUAUGUAAAAAAAUUCAAAUUUUAGUGAAAAAAAUGUGAUUUCAGUAUACAGAGAAAUUUUAUAGUACAGUAUGAUAAAAAAUUAAUAUUUUACUCUGGAAAAAAAGUCAUAGUAUAGUAUGAUAAGAAUGUCAUAGUAUAGUAUUCUAUUUUAGUAUGAUAAAAAAAGUCAUAGGAGAGUAUGUAAAAGAUUUCCAAUUUUAUGGGAAAAAAAACAUUUUAGUAUGGAGAGAAAUGUCACAGUAUAGUAUGAUAAAAAUGUCAUAGUAUAGUAUGUAAAAAAAAGUCACAGUAUAGUAUAAUAAAAAAUUAAUAUUUUAGUCUGAAAAAAUAUGUCAUAGUAUAGUAUGAUAAAAAUGUCAUAGUAUAGUAUGAUAAAAAAUUAAUAUUUUAGUCUGAAAAAAAAUGUCAUAGUAUAGUAAGAUAAAAAUGUCAUAGUAUAGUAUGUGGAAAAAAAUCAUAUUUUAGUAUGAAGAAAAAUGUCCUAGGAGAGUAUGUUAAAAAUCCAAAUUUUUGUGAAAAAAAAAUUGUAUUUUAGUAUGAAGAGAAAUGUCAUAGUAUAGCAUGAUAAAAAUGUCAUAGUAUAGUAUGUGGAAAAAAAUCAUAUUUUAGUAUGAAGAAAAAUGUCAUAGUAAAGUAUGACUAAAAUGUCAUAGUAUAGUAUGAUAGAAAUUUCAUAUUUUAGUGUGAAAUUUUUUUUAUUUUAGUUUAAAAAAAGGCUUUAGUAAAUUAUGAUAAAAUGUUAUACUAUAGUGUUUAAAAAAUUCAUAUUUUAGUAUGAUAAUAAUUUUAUAUUUAUGUAUGAAAAAAAUGUUAAAGUAUAGUAUGAUAAAAAAAAAAUUAAAUUUAUUGUAUGAACGAAAUGGCAUAGUAUUCUAUGAUUAAAAUCUCAAAUUCUAGUAUAAGAAAUAUGUCAUGGAUUAGUUUGUCCAAAGGUAACAUUUAAGGUUGAUAAAUGGAUCAACAGUGACAUGAGCACUUUGGUGGUGAAAUGGUUUGCACAGUUGUCUUACCGCAAAAAGGUCCAGGGUUCAAAUUCUGGUCUGGAAUACUAUAAUAUGAGUAUAAAUUAUGGAAAAAAGAAAGUUCAUGUUAUUGCAUGAUAAAAUGAAAAAAAUAGAUAUUUAGGUUUUUUUU
rnacentral:lncRNA from 1 species